GAUGAACGCUGGCGGCGUGCCUAAUACAUGCAAGUCGAACGAACUGAUUAGAAGCUUGCUUCUAUGACGUUAGCGGCGGACGGGUGAGUAACACGUGGGCAACCUGCCUGUAAGACUGGGAUAACUUCGGGAAACCGAAGCUAAUACCGGAUAGGAUCUUCUCCUUCAUGGGAGAUGAUUGAAAGAUGGUUUCGGCUAUCACUUACAGAUGGGCCAGCGGUGCAUUAGCUAGUUGGUGAGGUAACGGCUCACAAAGGCAACGAUGCAUAGCCGACCUGAGAGGGUGAUCGGCCACCCUGGGACUGGGACACGGCCCAGACUCCUACGGGAGGCAGCAGUAGGGAAUCUUCCGCAAUGGACGAAAGUCUGACGGAGCAACGCCGCGUGAGUGAUGAAGGCUUUCGGGUCGUAAAACUCUGUUGUUAGGGAAGAACAAGUACGAGAGUAACUGCUCGUACCUUGACGGUACCUAACCAGAAAGCCACGGCUAACUACGUGCCAGCCGCCGCGGUAAGAC
rnacentral:rRNA from 1 species